rnacentral:rRNA from 1 species
AUCCCUUCGGGGUGACGAGAUGCAGACUUAGUGGCGGACGGGUGAGUAAUGUAUGAGCAACCUGCCCUGGAGUGGGGGACGAACAGUUGGAAACGACUGCUAAUACCGCAUAAGCCCACGAUCCGGCAUCGGAUUGAGGGAAAAGGAUUUAUUCGCUUCAGGAUGGACUCGCGUCCAAUUAGCUAGUUGGUGAGGUAACGGCCCACCAAGGCGACGAUUGGUAGCCGGACUGAGAGGUUGAACGGCCACAUUGGGACUGAGACACGGCCCAGACUCC